AUGCCGGGCCCAAACUCGAGGACCACCGUUUGGGUGGCCCGUGGUUUAGCGACCGCCGUCACGCCGGACCACCCCCGGCCCUGGCCUAGGGUUUGGUGGGCGAGCUCAGUGCCGUCUUCCAGUGGUGGACGAGGAGAUCCGGCACGAACCACACACAGGGAGGAGCUCAACCUCUGCUGCCUCUGCGUGCCCCCAGGAAUAAAGAUGGCAACUUUUGGGGGCAAGGUUAUUUUAAAGUCUGAUGAUUGCUAUGUCGUGCAAGAGGGUGUUGAGCUGAUAGGUAAUUGCAGGAGUCGAUGA
rnacentral:rRNA from 1 species